rnacentral:rRNA from 1 species
UGGGGAAUAUUGGACAAUGGGGGGAACCCUGAUCCAGCCAUGCCGCGUGUGUGAAGAAGGCCUUAUGGUUGUAAAGCACUUUAAGCGAGGAGGAGGCUCUUUUGGUUAAUACCCAAGAUGAGUGGACGUUACUCGCAGAAUAAGCACCGGCUAACUCUGUGCCAGCAGCCGCGGUAAUACAGAGGGUGCGAGCGUUAAUCGGAUUUACUGGGCGUAAAGCGUGCGUAGGCGGCUUUUUAAGUCGGAUGUGAAAUCCCCGAGCUUAACUUGGGAAUUGCAUUCGAUACUGGGAAGCUAGAGUAUGGGAGAGGAUGGUAGAAUUCCAGGUGUAGCGGUGAAAUGCGUAGAGAUCUGGAGGAAUACCGAUGGCGAAGGCAGCCAUCUGGCCUAAUACUGACGCUGAGGUACGAAAGCAUGUGGAGCAAACAGG